rnacentral:rRNA from 1 species
AUGUGCCCAGUGAAGCUGUUAUUGCUGGCGUUGAACGCGUUUAGAUUCUUCAUCAUCUUCCAUGUGGCUGAUGGAAGUUCUAAGCUGAACUGGUUGCUUGAGACGUUGAGUACCUGCAGAGGCCGGUCUGUGGUGAUCGAAGACGGCAGCUCGUGCAGCGUUCCAUUUAGCCGGUUGAAGCUGACGUCAAGGGCGAUGAUGCUGCUGGAGGACAUGAGCUCCACUGGAAGGCCACUGGAGAAGGAGUUGUGCGAAAGGUUGACAUGCAGCAAGCCUGUGAGGUCGGCGAGAGAUGGCGAGAUGCGCCCUUCAAGUCCUUUAGAUGCCAGGGAGAUCUAA